CGGGGAUUAGCGUAAUUGGCUAUCGCGCACGCUUCGGGUGCGUGAGAUUCCGGGUUCGAGUCCCGGAUCCCCGA
rfam:Candidatus Buchananbacteria bacterium RIFCSPHIGHO2_01_FTLL_39_14 rifcsphigho2_01_scaffold_1283, whole genome shotgun sequence.